ACAUGGCCAUGGCCAGCUUCUACUUUUCUACACUUCUCCCUCUCUCUGCCUUUCUACAAUAAACGCCUUAAAACCAUGGGCUACCUCUUCUCAUCAGGAUCCAAUGAGCUGGAGCAAGAGAGUAGGUUUUCCUCUAACCCCCAGCAUUGAGGACUCCCUGCGCUCCAGCCCUGCGGCCAGCCAGCCAAACCAAACUAGCCGCUGGAGGGAGACAAGGACUCUCAUCCCUGAGAGCCCUUACCAAGCUGAGUGAGCAAUGGAAGGCUGGCCAAGACCAGAAUGCUCAGACUCCUGAACCAUACAGACAGGAAGGAGCUUGUUGUCCUCUGAGGAGAAGCUCCACCCAGCAGCUGACUCAGACAGAUACAGACACCCACAGUCAAACAGUGGAUGGAGCUUGGAGACUCUUAUGAAGAACAGGAGGAAGGAUUGUGGGAUCCAAGGGGUAUAAGAACUCUACAGAAGUCAACAGAGUCAAUAAGCUGGAUCCUUGGGACUCUCAGAAUCUGAAUCACCAACCAAAAAACAUACAGGGGUUGGACCUAGGCCUCCCCCUCAUAUGCAGCAGAUGUGCAGCUUGAUCUUGAUAUGGGUCCUGAACAAGCUGUUGCCUGUAUAUAGGAUUUGUUCUGUUAUCUGGACUGUCUUUUCUGGCCUCAGUGGGAGAGAGGAAACACCUAGUCUUGCAGAGACUUGAAGUGCCAGGUUUGAGGGGAUACUCAGGGGACUCGGAGAAGAAGGGGAGGGGAGGAUUAUGGGAGGGGGUGACCAGGAGAUGGGCAGUGAAUGGGAUUAAAGUGAAUAAGUAUAAAAAUUAAAUUAAAUUAAAAAAAGAAAAAUACAAUAGCUCAUUAGGAAAGACA